rnacentral:rRNA from 1 species
AAGCAGCACGCAGGCGGUUUGUCAAGUCAGAUGUGAAAUCCCGCAGCUCAACGUGGGGCUUGCAUUUGAUACUGGCAAGAUAGAGUCUUGUAGAGGGAGGUGGAAUUCAGGGUGUGCGGUGAAUGCGUAGAUAUCUGGAGGAACACCGGUGGCGAAGGCGGCCCCCUGGACAAAGACUGACGCUCAGGUGCGAAAGCGUGGGGAGCAAACAGGAUUAGAUACCCUGGUAGUCCACGCUGUAAACGAUGUCGACUUGGAGGUUGUGCCCUUGAGGCGUGGCUUGCGGAGCUAACGCGUUAAGUCGACCGCCUGGGGAGUACGGCCGCCAGGUUAAAACUCAAAUGAAUUGACGGGGGCCCGCACAAGCCGUGGAGCAUGUGGUUUAAUUCGAUGCCACGCGAAGAACCUUACCUAGUCUUGACAUCCUGAGAAAUAGCUAGAGAUAUGUUGCUGCCUUCGUGAACUCUGAGACAGGUGCUGCAUGGCUGUCGUCAGCUCGUGUUGUGAAAUGUUGGGUUAAGUCCCGCAACGAGCGCAACCCUUAUCCAUUUGUUGCCAGCGUUAUGGGGGGGGACUCCAAAGAGACUGCCGGGGGAAAAACGGAGGAAGGGGGGGACUACGUCCAGUCAUCAUGCCCCCUAACUAGAGGGCUUCACACAUGCUACAAAGGCCAGUACAGAGGGCUGCGCGACUGUCAGGAGCAGCCGAACCUUUUAAGCUGGUCUCAAGUUCGGAUUCGGAUCCGCCACUUCACCUCGUGGAGUUGGAAUUGCCUAGGUAUCGCUAGAAUCAACAAUUGCUAGCGGUGAAUACGUUCCCGGGCC